rnacentral:rRNA from 1 species
AUUGAACGCUGGCGGCAUGCUUUACACAUGCAAGUCGAACGGUAACAGGGUGCUUGCACCGCUGACGAGUGGCGAACGGGUGAGUAAUACAUCGGAAUGUACCCAGUAAUGGGGGAUAACGCUUCGAAAGGAGUGCUAAUACCGCAUACGCCCUGAGGGGGAAAGUGGGGGACCGCAAGGCCUCACGUUAUUGGAGCAGCCGAUGGCUGAUUAGCUAGUUGGUGAGGUAAAGGCUCACCAAGGCGACGAUCAGUAGCGGGUCUUAGAGGACGAUCCGCCACACUGGAACUGGGACACGGUGCAGACUCCUACGGGAGGCAGCAGGGGGGAAUCUUGGACAAUGGGCGAAAGCCUGAUCCAGCAAUGCCGCGUGCGUGAAGAAGGCCUUCGGGUUGUAAAGCACUUUAAGCGAGGAGGAGGCUACCUGGAUUAAUACUCUAGGAUAGUGGACGUUACUCGCAGAAUAAGCACCGGCUAGCUCUGUGCCAGCCGCCGCGGUAAAAC